GCCCGAGUGGUGAAAUCGGUAGACACAAGGGAUUUAAAAUCCCUCGCUGGCAACGGCGUGCCGGUUCGAUUCCGGCCUCGGGCACCA
rnacentral:tRNA from 1 species